CACAUGCAGUCGAGCGGUAACAGAUCCAGCUUGCUGGAUGCUGACGAGCGGCGGACGGGUGAGUAAUGCAUAGGAAUCUGCCCGAUAGUGGGGGAUAACCUGGGGAAACCCAGGCUAAUACCGCAUACGUCCUACGGGAGAAAGGGGGCUCCGGCUCCCGCUAUGGGAUGAGCCUAUGUCGGAUUAGCUAGUUGGUGAGGUAACGGCUCACCAAGGCCACGAUCCGUAGCUGGUCUGAGAGGAUGAUCAGCCACAUCGGGACUGAGACACGGCCCGAACUCCUACGGGAGGCAGCAGUGGGGAAUAUUGGACAAUGGGGGAAACCCUGAUCCAGCCAUGCCGCGUGUGUGAAGAAGGCCCUCGGGUUGUAAAGCACUUUCAGCGAGGAAGAACGCCUAGCGGUUAAUACCCGCUAGGAAAGACAUCACUCGCAGAAGAAGCACCGGCUAACUCCGUGCCAGCAGCCGCGGUAAUACGGAGGGUGCAAGCGUUAAUCGGAAUUACUGGGCGUAAAGCGCGCGUAGGUGGCUUGAUAAGCCGGUUGUGAAAGCCCCGGGCUCAACCUGGGAACGGCAUCCGGAACUGUCAAGCUAGAGUGCAGGAGAGGAAGGUAGAAUUCCCGGUGUAGCGGUGAAAUGCGUAGAGAUCGGGAGGAAUACCAGUGGCGAAGGCGGCCUUCUGGACUGACACUGACACUGAGGUGCGAAAGCGUGGGUAGCAAACAGGAUUAGAUACCCUGGUAGUCCACGCCGUAACGAUGUCGACCAGCCGUUGGGUGCCUAGCGCACUUUGUGGCGAAG
rnacentral:rRNA from 1 species